UGCCUUCGGGACCCUACUGUGUUCCAGGUCCCGUCUGUCCCUCAGUCACAUAGCUGUGGUCAUUCCAGGACAUGGGGACAAACCACUCUUUCCCAGCCAGGUGCCUUUGAGCCUUCCCUUCCAAGACCUGCACUUUUCCCGCUGUGUUCUCUUGUUUCCAGAGUCCAUCCAUCUUACUAGCUGGGGUCGUCUUCAUUAUGAGCUAUUCCUUCCUGGAGUUCUCCACUGUGGUGGAGAGUGUGGGAUGCUCAGAGGGACCUGCGUGCAUGGUUUUGGUGUGCAGAGAGCCAUGUCACAUCAUGUUUCUCACUGGGGUCUUGGAACCUGUGGAUCCCAGUCCCUAUGUGAUAUGCUCAAAUGCCCUGUCAACAAGCUAGAACCAGACUCAGGGUUAGGUCAGUGUGCAUGCCCUUAGCCACACUUCCCACCUGUCAGUGAGGAUGGCUCCUAUAUUCUGAAAGCUACUCUGAGACCCUGUGAGAGCUGAGUUAGAUGGUUGGAGUGGCCUUUAGAUAGCAUGCAGCUCUGUUAGUCUCUGCUUCUGGUCUCCAUUGAAAGCAAGCAGGUUUGAGACCCUGGCAGAGCAGGGGAGUGGUUCUCUCUGGUCCAUUUCCCUCUAAGACCCUGGAAACUGCUGCUGUGUCCCUUUCAGUGCUGGGCCUAGAGGCUGCCACAAGUUGCAGAUGUGGGGUCUUGGGAAGUAGAUACGUUCAUCUUAGUAUCUCUCAAUGACAAUGUCCACUGAUUGACUGGAAACGUUUGGAAAAACACAAAAACAAGUUGGAAGGAAAUUACUUCUGUUGUUCAGGCCACACCCUGUCCCUUCUUCAGUCUCUACCAACAGCGUUUGCCUUAUGGGUGCAGCUCACCGGCAGCUGCCUCAUUCAUUCCAGGUUCUAGAGCUUUCUAUGGGGCGGGUACCUCGGUGCGCAUAGGGAAUGAGGACGAAGCUAAAAUGGACCUUUCAAACCCCGAUGUAUGAGCAAUGGGUGCUUGUGAGUCUGCUCAUUUCCAGAGGAGAAGUCCUGGCCUGCCCCACCCUAGAGCCCCCCAGGUGUGUGAGUGGCAAGAGCAAGCUCAGAACCGUCUCAGCGCUGGGCUGUGACUGCCAGCCACCCUUCAUCUAGACUGAAGGAGGUUAGCAUUUGCCAGUGUGUUUUCUCUCGAUAUUCAUGUACGUGUAUUUUAAAAGUAAGUUGCAGUAUCAUGAGACUAUUUAUCCCUAGUGUUGCCCUAAGAGGUAGGGCCUUUUACCAGACCAGCCAGUGCCACAGCCAAGACAGUAGUCCUGUCCCACUAACAGCCAUUGUCUAGUCUGUACCUAAAGUUGUCUCCCAGCCCCCAUUCUACCCCAUUAUUUUAGUAUUGGUAUUGGAUCCAAUCAGGGCAAGAACAUUGUAUGUUAUUAAAAAGUUUCUUUGAAAGCUAAAAAGUUUUCCCUCUGCCCAACUCAUUAAAAAAAAAAAAAAAGUUUGGUUUUUGUUUGUUUGAGACAAGGUCUCAUUAUAUAGCCCUGGCUAGCCUGGAAUUUGUUAUGUAGACCAGGUUAGCCCUGGAACUCAUAGAGAUCCACUUAACUCUCAAAAGCUGAGAUUAAAUGUCUGCACUUACCAGGCCCAGUUCAAAAUGGUAUUUUGUUUGUGUUUUUGAGACAUGGUCUCAUCAUGUAAAUCUGGCUGUCCUGGAGAAUGUUAUGUGAACCAGGCUGGCUUUGAACUCAGAGAUCCAUCUGCCUCUGCCUCCUGAGUUCUGUGAUUAAAUGUGUGUGCCACUUCUCCCAUCCCCCAAAUGGUAUUCUUUUUAAGGCCAGAGGGUAUGUCGUCGUCUAGAAGUCCCACAUUCCAGAUCUGAUUGUUUCCUCCUGUAGCUAGCCCACAGGCUUUCAAGGGUCAUUUUCCUUCUUGUGUGGAUGUGGCAUUUCCUCUUGCCUGUAGUGAGCCUCCUCCCACAGCCCCCCAAGUGAGGGCCAAACCAGCUUGGGGGAGGGGAAGGGGCUCCCCAAAGAGGCAACAUCACAUGGGUAGGGGUUGAGGGCUCUGUGGGAUGGGAUGGUCCUGCUGGACUGACCCUGGAGGGCCAGGCUAGGCACAGCUUAGAGGAGCCCGGCUGCCCCAUGCUAAGCACAGCAUUGGUCUUUCUCCAUCUCUUCCCUCUUCUGUCUGUGUUUUGGUUUCCCUGCUUCUGUUCUGUGGUCCUGGGGUCUUCAUUCUCUAGAUGGUCAGUGUGCACUGGAACAGAGAUGAGACCUCAAGCUAUGACAGGGAAGGCCUAGGAGAAAGGCGUCCUCUAGGCGGAGGCCUGAGAAGAGCACCGGGUGCAGCAGGCGGUCACGUGACGGUCUUCCUCCAUAAAUGAGAUGGAGGCUUCAGCAGGGGUUUCACAUCCACGCAAGAGGCAGCUGUGCUCUGUGUGAUCUGAGGCUAGGAGUCUGCCUCCUCCCCUUCCACCCCCAGGCCUUCCAUGCAGUGCUGGGGUUAGGGUUGUCUGGCUGUGGGCUUGAUAUCCUUGCCAGCUCUGAGUAGCCCGGCAAUGUCUGAGGGCCAGCGGGAAGGCCAGGGGAGACUCCCUGAAAUGGUUCACCUAAGAAGCUUCCCUCAACCUCUCCCUGGCCUGGAGGAGGAUCCCAGAGGAAAGGGUUUUCUAUGACUGAGCUAGCUUUUCUUACGGGCAAGAGGGCUCUUUUUGUAAUUUGUGCAUGAAAUUCAUGUUAUUUCCUGGGGAGAGAAGAGGGCCAACUGAGUGGGUGGGGGGCACGUGUGGGAAGCAGGCAGAGGUUUCCUUCCCUGGAGGGGUGGGGAGGGCUCGCAGAGGGCAUGCUACCUAGCUCACCUGAAGAGGGCUCUUGAACCAGCCGUUUUGGGUUGUGUUAAAUGUGGGAACUUUCCUCCAUUAAUGUACAAUCUUGAACUAACUGCUAAUAAAAUGGGAUUCUGUUUGU
rnacentral:lncRNA from 1 species